CAGCAAGCUCACUUGGAGAAAGCAAAGAGGAGAGGAAAAGGGAAAGGCAGUGAGUUGCUCCUUUGCAGGGAAAAGGGCCUGAAUUCUGACAAUACUGAAAGCCUCCUCUUGAGCGUUUGACUUCAUUUGCUGCACCAGAGAGACAAAUAUCUAUCUAAAAGCCACUCACUGUCUCAGGGCCAGAAAAGCAGAGGUGAAAUCAAGGGCAGGUGUUCUUGGCAGAAGUACAAGAUCAUCUAUCCUGGAGGGCCAAGGGAUGAAAAUGAGAAAAUGCUGGAGAAGGAAAUAGAACUUACCAUUCUUGGUUUACAGCAUAAUAAAAAUGAACAAGCAUGUCCUGGAAGAUACCCUGACCUUUGACUUCAGUGUGUCAUGUAGCAGAGGUUGAA